rnacentral:lncRNA from 1 species
AGCGGUAGUUAUAAAUUUAUACAAAUUAUAACUUGACACUUUUUCUUUUGACUAAAAUGACUCAUUUUCCAAUAAACGAAAAGGAACGAACACGAGCACCUAGUUAACUAGCACAAUCAACGAUGUGGAACGGGAACAAUAUUUCUAUUCAAUAAGUACGAUUUUCAUCAUUUAUCUAACAAAUAAGGAAUCUCUAACGAUUGCCCAAAAGGUUGUUAAUAUUCUAGUCAAAAAAAAUCUCAAAAGUACCUAAAUAUAAAAAUAUUAGUGUACGUCUAAGUCCUGUAAGGAGUUAUAGCCAGAGUCUCCUGGAGGGAGAGCGGGAAUUUGUGUAUAGAUCUAUACGAGGUUGACACGCCGCACCUUCACUGUUCACUACAGCUAGACAUGCCAGUCUAGGGUGACAAAUGUCUUUUCCAAACCGAGGGCGCCUGAGAAACGUCAAAACAGGCACUCGUCAUGAUUAGUAUGGUUAUAAUGAUAAACUAGAACGCACACACUCAAUUUUACUCGAUAAGAGGAACAUGAUUUUCAACCAUAUUUCCUUUUUGAAAAUAAGGGAUUUUUCUUGAGACGGUUGAUUGUUACUUUUCAAAAGAACUCUUCUCGGACACAGCUCGCUUUUACAAAUCACACUACUUUUCAAAAUCACUCCUUAUAAGGAUGAACAAAAGUAACGACAUGCACACAUAUAUCCAUGAUUUUCAAGGCAAGACUUCAAACGAUUUCAUUGAAAAUAUCUGAUUUUCUGAAAGUACAACGAGAACGAUUCUGAACUAGUGUAAACGAUUUUAUAAAAAAAUGCUUAUGAACUCACAAACUUUUUAGUUGACGCUUUUCAGAACGACUUGUAUUCUCAGGGAUCUAGUAAGCAGGUAACAAGGGACGCUGAUGCAAGGCUAUUUAGCUGUAGUUUGGAUUCUUUUCUACUUAUGUAUCUUUUGUGUAACUCGAAGAACAAAUACAAAAUGUAAAACAAUGUAAGUUUGUUAUCUCAAUGUAUGAUGUUUGGAUUGCUCUGUUUCAUGUAUAUUCAAUUGUUAUGAUACUGCGCAAUGAAGUUACCCGCCUCCGGACAUUUCCGCCGUCUGGUCCGGGGGUGUGACAGAUUGGUAUCAGAGCAUUGUUUAUAGUGAACUGGUAUAUCUAGCCAUAUGAGAUAUGCCACUAUAAAUACAAUGGGACUAAAACAAACUCUGCCUAAAAUUAUACUUUAAGAAUAUAAGUAUUUAUAAAAGUAUACAUAAUUACUAACCUAGUAUCAUAAUGAGAAGAGACCGAGAGUAACUAAAGUUUGAACACUACAGUCAAACCUAGGGAGUUAUGUAAUCAUAUCUAGGAUCAAUAUAGCCUGAUCAACUAUAUUUAUUUGAGGUAUGACCAACACGUGCUUGGGUAUGAUGGUGGUGUUGCAACAAACCUAAAACCUAACAACUAUGCACACAAGAGAAUACUAGAAUUUGAACAUCAAGUUUAAAAUACUAUAGGAGUAUUUUAGGAUACUCUAAACCCCUCACACCUAAACCAUCCCUGUAUAUCUCGAGCCGCGACUCUUACACAUACGCCAUAAUUGAAAUUCCUCACCUAGACUUCUACAAACCUAUCAUGAUGAUUUACGGAUGGGGCAAGGAGAGACCAAAAGAAUCACAAGAGGAAAAUCCAGAAAUGGAUCCUAGGGGAUACCCAUAGCUGAAUUGUGAAAGGGAGAAUUCCGAUUAAGAAUUCAACAAGGAUAAAAGCGCCAAGGAAACCCUUGAUAAGCUUUGCCAAAAUGAGAGUAAACCCGAGACCCUUUCACCUCUCUCUUCCCAGAUACGUAAACACCCUAUAUAGGUACUCCUAGAAUAGACAUACCCAGAAACAAAAUGAUACCCACGCAAAAAUGAGUUGAGCAAUUAACUCCUACCCGGUUUAGGGUGCAUCUCCACAAAAGACAAUCCGAUCCACAAUCGACGCGCACCGAACUCCGAGAGCCAACACCCUCGCGGAUUAGAUGACCGUUUGGGUCAAGAGUAACCCGAAUUGAAUCCCAGUUUCCAACCCUCGGUCGUGGAGUAAUGCACACCAUAUGCAAAACCCGGUGUGCAACAGUGUAAAUCCGAUCCCUAACAAGUAACAAGAACACCAUUCCAAAUGCCUUAUGAAACCCACCAGUAGGACCAAAGAACUAUGUAGACCACACACACUCCUUAAAAGAGAAAAGAUGUCAUUUGGAGAUCACAACUCAUAGCAAUCAAGUCUAGGACAACCUUAGCAGCGUAAGGAACACAAAAAUGGCACCCUUAAUAUAAGUGAAAUGGUCAAGCACUUUGUGCGCCAAAAGAGGAUAGCCACACUACUCGCCUUAGGUUCAUAAUGCCCUUAGUCGCAACCAGUAAAAGUGAACCAAGAGGAGUUCAUCCUCCAAAAAUCCAUACAACCAAACCCGUUAACCAUAUUGCUAGCCAUGUGCUACGACGACAGACUUUACAUCAGACAAUACAUGUUCCCACCCUCCACCAUAACUGCAUCAUGGGGAUGUAGGUUGGACCGAUUAACACCAGUACGUUAGGAUUAUACGAGUAAACUCACUUGGAACUUACUACGAGUACUCACAAGCUCACUUUUCGUGUGCAACAGAGUUAUGUCUUCUCAUGAAGGUAACCAUUAUCCCGACCAUGCACCGAUCCUACGAAUAGACUCUGCCACUUCCAAAGCCACUGUAACAUCGACUGUGGCAGCCGUCAUGGCCUACUUCAAUACAAAUGACACAAUAAAAGUUGGAAACAAUGUCGGUAACUCCAACUGUAACAACAACCAAAGAAACCAACUAAGAACAACUCACCCAUGCACUAAAAAACCUAAACCUAAGAACAAGAAAUGAAAGUUCAGGAACGAAAAAGGAGUCAGUUCGACUCAGAGGCUUACUAAAAAGAAACAAGCGAGAUUAGUUCCUACCCAUAUUAACCCUACUCCUCCCCCAUCGAGACAAUCAUACCUUGGGAGCAAUCCACCCUGCAACAAGCGAAAUUACCAUCAUUGGGGGGCCUACCAGACAUUUUGUUGCAAAAGGGUGCAACAAGAUGGGGCACAUCUCCCGCUACUGUAGGGCCCCGACCCCAUGAAUCACCCCAAUUCCCAACCCAGAAGUAAGUCAAGUUUGUCACCAGUGCGGUGCAACAGGACAUUUGAAGAGAAAUUGUCCAACAGUGAUGACUGACGAGGGAGUUGACAACUAGACAGGAAGAGACAACAAGAAACCCUACCGAGAUUUUCGGCACGUUUCGAACGACAAACUUUAUAUGACGAAUUUUCCCGAAAAGGUAUUGAAAAUUGAAAACAUAAUAAAAAACUACUCCCCCAGUUGAGCAAAUCUGUAAAUCAUGGAGAAGCUAGCGAAUCCUUACGAAUGGACUAUGAUGGCCCCAUAUAAACGUUAGUAUCAUACGUGGUUAAGAUUCCGCAAACUCAGAACGUGCGAUUCCGUCUUACUUUCUGCCCCUGGGCUGAAUAAUGAGUAGGACAGAACCCCACAGGCAACCAUCUCCAAAGAUCCUAAGAUCUUAAGUACGUACAGUUAGGUCAUAUCCAUCUAUAGCGGAGGGACCUGGCAGAAUUCGGAUUACGAAUUCCAUUGCCUUAUAACAGCACCCUCGUGUCGCUAGGACACCUAAAAAGCAGAGACGAAAUAGACCUAAUGGUAGCAACGAAAAUGAAACUAGCAAUGAUGAGAACACGAACACUAGAACACCUAACAAGCAGAAACGAGAUAGAUCGAAUGGUAACAACGAAAACAAAACUAGUAACUAUAGGAGCAUGAACAUAAAACGCCUUGUCUCCUCAAAUCGAUGUAACAACAAGGAGUCCAAUGUCGUUAGUUGACACGGACAUGCUUGAUCCUCACCUUACAAACCUAGAGCUCUAUCAAUAGUCUUUCUUCCUACUCCACCGGGUAACGAAACUCUUUUAGCUGGUAACGACAAAUCCCUAGUAACCAGACACCUAAGUCCUGGUGUAAGAAUCGCCACACGCCCUUCCUUAGCCCCAACAAAGAUUAAAAAUCAAGGAGCAAAGGGCAUAAAAAGGAAUCCAAAAGGCUUCCAACCAUUCCUCCAGAGAUUCCUAAAAUCUCUUAUAAAGCCUCAACCAUGUGCUAAACAGAGGUAGAAUCACCUCGACUCCUAGAAUCACGUCAAUGACCUAACACCCGACACCACUUAGCACGGUCACAAGAACAAAUGGUGUCUGAUCAUAAGAUCAACAUAUUAUGUAAAGGAAACAUCAGACCCAAUCCCUAAACACAGGAAGCACCUGUCUAACCCUUAAGGGGAGAAAGACGAAAUUGCCAUAGGCACCACCAUCCACGAAUAAGCCAAACAAACCCAUCCUCAAGGAUCGAUACUCCCUACCCCAGAAUCGGAGACAUGUUCAACCAAAAACAAGGGCUGGCAGAGGCCAACCUACCAUUAGCUCGGGAAAACUAUAGGAAGAAAACUCCCCAUAUAAUCGAAGACUCAUAAGUUCAACCACAUCACACACAAACUCAACCUUGGUAACUAUAGCACCAACUCCUAACGCCCAUAAAACUCUACUUCUGGGAUACCCGGAUCCUGAUCCCUAGAAAACCAUUCAAAAGGCCUCGCCAAGGAAAAGCUCCGAUAAACCAUAGUCUCCGAUUAAGCUAAGAGCUCAGUUAAGACAUUUUACAUUCCAUGUAUUCUACACUCAUAAGUGUCGAACCACCAAAACUCUAGAAAUCCCAUAUGUCGAGGUCAAGGUAAAAACAAACCCACACCCCAAAGAGAAGCAUGUGUAGUGGACAUUGACAAGGUUGGAUGCCCACUUGCUUCUAAUCGAGUACUCAUACACCAAAAACUACCACCCGAGCAUGGGAGUUGUAUCCUUCAAGGCCCCCGUUUGGCCGGAAAUGCAGAUCAUCCUAUGUUGGGCAGAGGUGAGAGACACCAAACUGAAAAGAGAACAAACACUCAAUAGCUUACUCCCUAGAUCCAAGAUUACUCACGAAACCACAAGAAAGAUAGUCAAAACCUGAACACGACCCCAAACAUCGUAUAAGUCAACAAUAGAACUAUACAGAUAGCAGGUUAAGGCCUCAAAAUCCCAAGUAGGGAUCAUGGUACUAUUUAAGAACUCACCCCCGAAGAAGAGUAACUCGAAUCAAAAAGAAAAGUGAACUAAACUCCCAAUGCACCAGACCCUUUGAGAUCCUUGUACGGAUCGGCCCGGUAGCCUACCAAAUCCAAUUACCCUCCGAUUUUAGUAAUGCACACCCUGCAUUUCAUGUAUCAAACCUAGAAAGUGUCUAUCGGACAACCCUCCUAGUCCCACUAGACAAGGCUAAGGCGAACUAGAACCUCCUAAUCAUUGAUCCGCCUAUAGAGACAAUGAACGGAAAUGUUAAGAACACAUAAGCAAAGCCACAUCCCAAUGGUGAGGGUUCAAUGGAAACGCUAGGCGUGAACCGGUAUUCACUUGGCAAUUUGAGGACCAUAUAAAUCAAAAGUACCCUCACCUAUUUUCGCAUUCAUAACCGUACCCUUUGAAAGAAUUUCGGGACAAAAUUCCCUCUAACAGGGGAAUGAUGUCACAACUAGCACUUUUGGCUAGGAAAUUCCGUCCUCAGCUAAGCAAGGACUAUUGUGAAACUUGUGCUAACUCACCUAAAUGUUUAAUAUGAGUUCCUAAGGAGCCAUAAAGUGUUACAAUGCAAAUCUCUCCAAGUAUAGUGAAUCUCUCCCAAAUCUCUCCAAGCUUGUGAAAUCUCUCUCAAAUCUCUCUAAGUAUAGUAAAUCUCUCCAAGUAUAGUAAUUCUCUCCCAAAUCUCUCUAAGUGUGCGAAAUCUCUCCAAGAAUAGUGAAUCUCUCCCAAAUCUCUCUAAGUAUGCGAAAUCUCUCUAUGUAUGGUGAAUCUCUCCUAAAUCUCUCCAAGAAAACUAAAUCUCUCCCAAAUCUCCCUAAGUAUGCAAAAUCUCUCCAAGAAAAGUGAAUCUCUCCCAAAUCUUUUUAAGUAUGCGAAAUCUCUCCAAGAAUAGUGAAUCUCUCCCAAAUCUCUCAAAGUAUGUGAAAUCUCUCCCAAAUCUCUCCACGUUUCUCAAAUCUCUCUCAAAUCUCCUUAAAUACCUUCCUUAGUCGAAAACAGCUCAAAACCGGAAGAGGAAACCCCAAAAGGAACCUCUUGGUCCGGAACCCUCAUGGUCCUGAACCUCUUGGUCCGGACUCCUCUUGGUCCGGAACCCUCUUAGUCCGGACACCUUCUUUGGAACCGAGAAGGCUCUCACCUUCAGAAUUCCCUUGCUUCGGAUCUCCUCACUGCUCCGGAUGGUUUGAAUCCGGAAGGCUUCACAUGACUUGCUUCAGACAUCUAGCCGCCUCGCAUCCUCGGUCCGGACUUACCUGAUCUUGCACCCGACUCUGGAGGUGAGCAUUGGCUUCGGAACUUGUCCAGCGCCUUCGGAACCUACCCAGCAGCUUCGGAAUUUACCCAAAUGACUUCGGAAAUUAGAAUCUGACACCGGAAUCCUUCUUAUGCUUCUCGGACCCUCGCAAGAACCAAUCCCCACUCCGAAAUUUCAUUGUUUUCGGACUUUUUCACCAUUUUAAGACAUUUUGACGCCGAAAAUUACACCAUACUUGUAUUUUUCCUAUCCUAAACCCCUUAGACCCCUAUUUUAUGCUAAAAUUAAUUAUUUUAAGCAUAUUCUUCAUAAAAACAAAUGGUUGGGAUUUAGGAAAACCUUAUCCUAAAUCAAGCAAAGGACAAAAGGAUUGACUUUGUGAUUUGAGGAAAUUCCUCACUUCCCAUGCAAAUCACAGUACUCCAUGCUUUACCCCCAAAUAUCCAUGCAUGGACCACCAGAUACCCAUGUACCAAAGAUUCCUUCCUUUUCCUUAUACUCUAAAGCAACGACAGUGUGGGAGUUUAGACUCCACUUUCUCUCACAUUUUUCCCCAUUUUCUCUCAAAAACUCAUCUUCAAGUAAGAAAAGAGGAUCUUGCUGAAAGGAAAUUUCUCAACUUCUUCCUGAGAGAUUUUAAAGUAAAUUCCUCCACUCAUCUAAUAUUUUAUUAUAUAUCAAGAUGAAUCCAUAUUAUCUUAUUCAUAAUAAUAUGUGAUGAUCAUCCUUAGGAAAGUAUCCCUCCCACGGAAGUUCCUCAUCUUAGCCAAGAGUUAAAGCGUGAGAUCAUCACUCCAUAACUCCAAACAACUCCUCAACCAACUCAUGGUGAGCUUCAUACCCCACAUUUUCCAUAUUUUAAUGUUUUUGGGNNNNNNNNNNNNNNNNNNNNNNNNNNNNNNNNNNNNNNNNNNNNNNNNNNNNNNNNNNNNNNNNNNNNNNNNNNNNNNNNNNNNNNNNNNNNNNNNNNNNUUCAAUUGUUAUGAUACUGCGCAAUGAAGUUACCCGCCUCCGGACGUUUCCACCGUUUGGUCCGGGGGUGUGACAGAUUGGUAUCAGAGCAUUGUUUAUAGUGAACUGGUAUAUCUAGCCAUACGAGAUAUGCAACUAUAAAUACAAUGGGACUAAAACAAACUCUGCCUAAAAUUAUACUUUAAGAAUAUAAGUAUUUAUAAAAGUAUACAUAAUUACUAACCCAGUAUCAUAACAAGAAGAGACCGAGAGUAACUAAAGUUUGAACACUACAGUCAAACCUAGGCAGUUAUGUAAUCAUAUCUAGGAUCAAUAUAGCCUGAUCAACUAUAUUUAUUUGAGGUAUGACCAACACGUGCUUGGGUGUGAUGGUGGUGUUGCAACAAACCUAAAACCUAAAAACUAUGCACACAAGAGAAUACUAGAAUUCGAACAUCAAGUAUAAAAUACUAUAGGAGUAUUUUAGGAUACUAUAAACCCCUCACACCUAAACCAUCCCUGUAUAUCUCAAGCCGCGACUCUUGCACAUACGACAUAAUUGAAAUUCCUCACCUAGACUUCUACAAUCCUAUCAUGAUGAUUUACGGAUGGGGCAAGGAGAGACCAAAAGAAUCACAAGAGGAAAAUCCAGAAAUGGAUCCUAGGGGAUACCCAUAGAUGAAUUGUGAAAGGGAGAAUUCCGAUUAAGAAUUCAACAAGGAUAAAAGCGCCAAGGAAACCCUUGAUAAGCUUUGCCCAAAUGAGAGUAAACCCAAGACCCUUUCACCUCUCUCUUCCCAGAUACGUAAACACCCUAGAAACAAAAAGAUACCCACGCAAAAACGAGUUGAGCAAUUGACUCCUACCCGAUUUAGGGCGCAUCUCCACAAAAGACAAUCCGAUCCACAAUCGAUGCGCACCGAACUCCGAGAGCCAACACCCUCGCGGAUCAGAUGACCGUUUGGGUCAAGAGUAACCCGAAUUGAAUCCCAGUUUCCAACCCUCGGUCGUGGAGUAAUGCACACCAUAUGCAAAACCCGGUGUGCAACAGUGUAAAUCCGAUCCCUAACAAGUAACAAGAACACCAUUCCAAAUGCCUUAUGAAACCCACCAGUAGGACCAGAGAACUAUGUAGACCACACACACUCCUUAAAAGAGAAAAGAUGUCAUUUGGAGACCACAACUCAUAGCAAUAAAGUCUAGGACAGCCUUAGCAGCGUAAGGAACACAAAAAUUGCACCCUUAAUAUAUGUGAAAUGGUCAAGCACUUUGUGUGCCAAAAGAGGAUCGCCACACUACUCGCCUUAGGUUCAUAAUGCCCUUAGUCGCAACCAGUAAAAGUGAACCAAGAGGAGUUCAUACUCCAAAAAUCCAUACAACCGAACCCGUUAACCAUAUUGCUAGCCAUGUGCUAUGACGACAGACUUUACAUCAGACAAUACAUGUUCCCACCCUCCACCAUAACUGCAUCAUGGGGAUGUAGGUUGAACCGAUUAACACCAGUACAUUAGGAUUAUACGAGAAAACUCACUUGGAACUUACUACGAGUACUCACAAGCUCACUUUUCGUGUGCAACAGAGUUAUGUCUUCUCAUGAAGGUAACCAGUAUCCCGGCCAUGCACCGGUCCUACGAAUAGACUCUGCCACUUUCCAAGACACUGUAACAACGAUUGUGGUAGCCGUCAUGGCCUACUUCAAUACAAAUGACACAAAAAAAAGUUGGAAACAAUGUUGGUAACUCCAACCGUAACAACAACCAAAGAAACCAACUAAGAACAACUCACCCAUGCACUAAAAAACCUAAACCUAAGAACAAGAAAUGAAAGUUCAGGAACGAAAAAGGAGUCAGUUCGACUCAGAGGCUUACUAAAAAGAAACAAGCGAGAUUAGUUCCUACCCAUACUAACCCUACUCCUCCCCCAUCGAGACAAUCAUACCUUGGGAGCAAUCCACCCUGCAACAAGCGAAAUUACCAUCAUUGGGGAGCCUACCAGACAUUUUGUUGCAAAAGGGUGCAACAAGAUGGGGCACAUCUCCCGCUACUGUAGGGCCCCGACCCCAUGAAUCACCCCAAUUCCCAACCCAGAAGUAAGUCAAGUUUGUCACCAGUGCGGUGCAACAGGACAUUUGAAGAGAAAUUGUCCAACAGUGAUGACUGACGAGGGAGUUGACAACUAGACAGGAAGAGACAACAAGAAACCCUACCGAGAUUUUCGGCACGUUUCGAACGACAAACUUUAUAUGACGAAUUUUACCGAAAAGGUAUUGAAAAUUGAAAACAUAAUAAAAAACUACUCCCCCAGUUGAGCAAAUCUGUAAAUCAUGGAGAAGCUAGCGAAUCCUUACGAAUGGACUAUGAUGGCCCCAUAUAAACGUUAGUAUCAUACGUGGUUAAGAUUCCGAAAACUAAGAACGUGCGAUUUCGUCUUACUUUCUGCCCCUGGGCUGAAUAAUGAGUAGGACAGAACCCCACAGGCAACCAUCUCCAAAGAUCCUAAGAUCUUAAGUACGUACAGUUAGGUCAUAUCCAUCUAUAGCGGAGGGACCCGACAGAAUUCAGAUUACGAAUUCCCUUGCCUUAUAACAGCACCCUCGUGUCGCUAGGACACCUAAAAAGCAGAGACGAAGUAGACCUAAUGGUAGCAGCGAAAAUGAAACUAGCAACGAUGAGAACACGAACACUAGAACACCUAACAAGCAGAAACGAGAUAGAUCGAAUGGUAACAACGAAAACAAAACUAGUAACUAUAGGAGCAUGAACAUAAAACGCCUUGUCUCCUCAAAUCGAUGUAACAACAAGGAGUCCAAUGUCGUUAGUUGACACGGACAUGCUUGAUCCUCACCUUACAAACCUAGAGCUCUAUCAAUAGUCUUUCUUCCUACUCCACCGGGUAACGAAACUCUUUUAGCUGGUAACGACAAAUCCCUAGUAACCAGACACCUAAGUCCUGGUGUAAGAAUCGCCACACGCCCUUCCUUAGCCCCAACAAAGAUUAAAAAUCAAGGAGCAAAGGGCAUAAAAAGGAAUCCAAAAGGCUUCCAACCAUUCCUCCAGAGAUUCAUAAAAUCUCUUAUAAAGCCUCAACCAUGUGCUAAACAGAGGUAGAAUCACCUCGACUCCUAGAAUCACCUCAAUGACCUAACACCCGACACCACUUAGCACGGUCACAAGAACAAAUGGUGUCUGAUCAUAAGAUCAAAAUAUUAUGUAAAGGAAACAUCAGACCCAAUCCCUAAACACAGGAAGCACCUGUUUAACCCUUAAGGGGAGAAAGACAAAAUUGCCAUAGGCUCCACCGUCCACGAAUAAGCCAAACAAAGCCAUCCUCAAGGAUCGAUACUCCCUACCCUAGAAUCGGAGACAUGUUCAACCAAAAACAAGGGCUGGCAGAGGCCAACCUACCAUUAGCUUGGGAAAACUAUAGGAAGAAAACUCCGCAUAUAAUCGAAGGCUCAUAAGUUCAACCACAUCACACACAAACUCAACCUUGGUAACUAAAGCACCAACUCCUAAGGCCCAGAAAACUCUACUUUUGGGAUACCCGGAUCCUGAUCCCUAGGAAACAUUCAAAAGGCCUCGCCAAGGAAAAGCUCCGAUAAACCAUAGUCUCCGAUUAACCUAAGAGCUCAGUUAAGACAUUUUACAUUCCAUGAAUUCUACACUCAUAAGUUUCGAACCACCGAAACUCUAGAAAUCCCAUAUGUUGAGGUCAAGGUAAAAACAAACCCACACCCCAAAGAGAAGCAUGUGUAGUGGACAUUGACAAGGUUGGAUGCCCACUUGCUUCUAAUCGAGUACUCAUACACCAAAAACUACCACCCGAGCAUGGGAGUUGUAUCCUUCAAGGCCCCCGUUUGGCCGGAAAUGCAAAUCAUCCUAUGUUGGGCAGAGGUGAUAGACACCAAACUGAAAAGAGAACAAACGCUCAAUAGCUUACUCCCUAGAUCCAAGAUUACUCACGAAACCACAAGAAGGAUAGUCAAAACCCGAACACGACCCCAAACAUCGUAUAAGUCAACAGUAAAACUAUACAGAUAGCAGGUUAAGGCCUCAAAAUCCCAAGUAGGGAUCAGGGUACUAUUUAAGAACUCCCCCUGAAGAAGUGUAACUUGAAUCAAAAGGAAAAGUGAACUAAACUCCCGAUGCACCAGACCCUUUGAGAUCCUUGCACGGAUCGGCCCGGUAGCCUACCAAAUCCAAUUACCCUCCGAUUUUAGUAAUGCACACCCUGCAUUUCAUGUAUCAAACCUAGAAAGUGUCUAUCGGACAAGGGAAAUGCUAGGCGUGAACCGGUAUUCACUUGGCAAUGUGAGGACCACAUAAAUCAAAAGUACCCUUACCUAUUUUCGCGUUCAUAACCGUACCCUUUGAUAGAAUUUCGGGACGAAAUUCCCUCUAACAGGGGAAUGAUGUCACAACUAGCACUUUUGGCUAGGAAAUUCCGUCCUCAGCUAAGCAAGGACUAUUGUGAAACUUGUGCUAACUCACCUAAAUGUUUAAUAUGAGUUCCUAAGGAGCCAUAAAGUGUUAGAAUGCAAGUCUUUCCAAGUAUAGUGAAUCUCUCCCAAAUCUCUCCAAGCUUGUGAAAUCUCUCUCAAAUCUCUCUAAGUAUAGUAAAUCUCUCCAAGUAUAGUAAUUCUCUCCCAAAUCUCUCUAAGUAUGCGAAAUCUCUCCAAGUAUGGUGAAUCUCUCCUAAAUCUCUCCAAGAAAACUGAAUCUCUCCCAAGUCUCCCUAAUUAUGCAAAAUCUCUCCAAGAAAAGUGAAUCUCUCCCAAAUCUCCUUAAGUAUGCGAAAUCUCUCCAAGAAUAGUGAAUGUCUCUUAAAUCUCUCAAAGUAUGUGAAAUCUCUCCCAAAUCUCUCUCAAAUCUCCUUAAAUACCUUCCUUAGUCGAAAACAGCUCAAAACUGGAAGAGGAAACUGAUGGGUUUUAGCCAUAAGAACUUUCCUAUGUGCGCANNNNNNNNNNNNNNNNNNNNNNNNNNNNNNNNNNNNNNNNNNNNNNNNNNNNNNNNNNNNNNNNNNNNNNNNNNNNNNNNNNNNNNNNNNNNNNNNNNNNUGCCUAAUAUAGUUGCAGCCUUAGACACUAUUCCAACAGAAACCCCAAAAGGAACCUCUUGGUCCAGAACCCUCUUGGUCCUGAACCUCUUGGUCCUGAACCUCUUGGUCCGGACUCCUCUUGGUCCGGAACCCUCUUAGUCCGGACACCUUCUUUGGAACCGAGAAGGCUCUCACCUUCGGAAUUCCCUUGCUUCGGAUCUCCUCACUGCUCCGGAUGGUUUGAAUCCGGAAGGCUUCGCAUGACUUGCUUCAGACAUCUAGCCGCCUCGCAUCCUCGGUCCGGACUUACCUGAUCUCGCAUCCGACUCCGGAAGUGAGCAUUGGCUUCGGAACUUGUCCAGCGCCUUCGGAACCUACCCAGCAGCUUCGGAAUUGACCCAAAUGACUUCGGAAAUUAGAAUCUGACUCCGAAAUCCUUCUUAUGCAUCUCGGACCCUCGCAGGAACCAAUCCCCACUCCGGAAUUUCAUUGUUUUCGGACUUUUUCACCAUUUUAAGACAUUUUGACGCCAAAAAUUACACCAAACUUGUAUUUUUCCUAUCCUAAACCCCUUAGACCCCUAUUUUAUGCUAAAAUUAAUUAUUUUAAGCAUAUUCUUCAUAAAAACAAAUGGUUGGGAUUUAGGAAAACCUUAUCCUAAAUCAAGCAAAGGACAAAAGGAUUGACUUUGUGAUUUGAGGAAAUUCCUCACUUCCCAUGCAAAUCACAGUACUCCAUGCUUUACCCCCAAAUAUCCAUGCAUGGACCACCAGAUACCCAUGUACCAAAGAUUCCUUCCUUUUCCUUAUACUCUAAAGCAACGACAGUGUGGGAGUUUAGACUCCACUUUCUCUCACAUUUUUCCCCAUUUUCUCUCAAAAACUCAUCUUCAAGCAAGAAUAGAGGAUCUUGCUGAAAGGAAAUUUCUCAACUUCUUCCUGAGAAAUUUUAAAGUAAAUUCCUCCACUCAUCUAAUAUUUUAUGAUAUAUCAAGAUGAAUCCAUAUUAUUUUAUUCAUAAUAAUAUGUGAUGAUCAUCCUUAGGAAAGUGUCCCUCCCAGGGAAGUUCCUCAUCUCAGCCAAGAGUUAAAGCGUGAGAUCUUCACUCCAUAACUCCAAACAACUCCUCAACCAACUCAAGGUGAGCUUCAUACCCCACAUUUUUCAUGUUUUAAUGUUUUUGGGGGAGAGUACAAGUCAAAUCUUGCCUAAACUCUUAAAUGAUUACAUAUAUACAUAUGUUUGUAUGUGUGUGAAAUAUUAUUAAAUUAUUAUUUAGUAAUAUACUCAUGAACGAAGGAUUUCUAAAUUUCACAAAGAAUAGAGGAUACUUUGAACAAAAGAGCCUCCUAACUAUUGAGUGUAUCCAACUUAACCCCUUUAUCUAUGCUUUCGUGUCUAAAGAUAAAAUGUUAUAAAAGGGAUCUUACUAAGUGGACACCAUUUCUAGUGAUUUUUCGAAAAUAGAAAUUUUGUGACUAUUUUGCAAACUAUCAGGGUGUAUUUUAUAAAUAUUCAACAUACAAGUUUGCGUCAAGAAAAUAUACAAGUAGAACCUCUAUGACAGAAAUAUUUGCAUGUCAUAAACAGUUGUCAUAAAACCUCCAAGAAAACAAGUAAUGUUCUAUAUGUCAUAAAACAAAAAAUGCGUGUCAUAAGCGGCAGUUUUAAAUUUAUACAAAUUAUAACUUAACACUUUUUCUUUUGAAUAAAAUGACUCAUUUUCCAAUAAACGAAAAGCAACGAACACGAGCACCUAGUUAACGAGCACAAUCAACGAUAUGGAACGAGAACGAUAUUUCUAUUCAAUAAGUACGAUUUUCAUCAUUUAUCUAACAAAUAAUGAAUCUCUAACGAUUGCCCAAAAGGUUGUUAAUAUUCUAGUCAGAAAAAUCUCAAAAGUACCUAAAUAUAAAAAUAUUAGUGUACGUCUAAGUUCUGUAAGGAGUUAUAGCCAGAGUCUCCUGGAGGGAGAGCGGGAAUUUGUGUAUAGAUCUAUACGAGGUUGNCCGCACCUUUGCUGUUCGCUACAGCUGGACAUGCCAGUCUAGGGUGACAAAUGUCUUUUCCAAACCAAGGGCGCCUGAGAAAUG